CCUACGGGUGGCAGCAGUGGGGAAUAUUGCGCAAUGGGCGAAAGCCUGACGCAGCGACGCCGCGUGAGGGAUGAAGGUCUUCGGAUCGUAAACCUCUGUCAGCAGGGAAGAACGGUCACUGUGCUAAUCAGCAGUGAAUUGACGGUACCUGCAAAGGAAGCACCGGCUAACUCCGUGCCAGCAGCCGCGGUAAUACGGAGGGUGCGAGCGUUAAUCGGAAUUCCUGGGCGUAAAGCGCUCGUGGGCCGUAUGUCAAGUCAAGGGUGAACUCCCCGCGCUCCACGUGGGACCUGCCUUUGAAACUGGCAAACUGGAGUGUGCGAGAGGAUAGUGGAAUUCCAGGUGUAGGAGUGAAAUCCGUAGAUAUCUCGAGGAACAUCAGUGGCGAAGGCGACUAUCUGGCACAUAACUGACGCUGAGGAGCGAAAGCGUGGGUAGCAAACAGGAUUAGAUACCCCUGUAGUC
rnacentral:rRNA from 1 species